CGUAACAGCGAACAACAUCGUUCGUUUCUCCCGCCAGGCCGCCCCUGUUGCCGCCUGAGCCCAAAGGAGAUGGGGUGAGGUCAGCCUUAUCACCAAAAUGACCCAUGGGGGCUGGGAGGCCCC
rnacentral:tmRNA from 1 species